GGCAACACUUGAACAUUUACCGCUUUUGUUCACCAGCAUGCGGAACGACAUGUCACGAUCUAGUCGUAUUGUUAUAAUUUAAACUUAGUUAUCGUAAUUAAAGUGUUAAUGUAAUGCUCAUUACUCGAUUUUUAUUGCAACUCUACCUAACAUCAGUUAUGGACCCAGAUAAAUUAUUAACCAAUUUCGUCAUAGAGCAGAGGAAUCAAGAUUGCAAAAGUGAAAUCACGAAAAGGAAUGAUGGCUGGAGAAACAGUGAAACAAAGUUUAUUUCUCCCACCUGGUACUAGUCCUGCUAUAGUUGCCAAACUUAUCGUGAAGAUUUUAGAAUGCAAAAGAUUAUCCUGCAAGUGUGAAAUCAGCAAAGAUAUUCUACAUUAUGCGUUGAAAAUACUUCUAAGUGAAGACGACACGUAUCUAUAUUCUGAACAGAGACUUCGUAAAGUAACC
rnacentral:lncRNA from 1 species